rnacentral:rRNA from 1 species
UGCCUCAGUACGGCGAGUGAAGCGGCAACAGCUCAAAUUUGAAAUCUGGCUCCUUCGGGGUCCGAGUUGUAAUUUGUAGAGGAUGUUUCGGGUGCGGCGCCGAUCUAAGUCCCUUGGAACAGGGCGUCACAGAGGGUGAGAAUCCCGUACGUGAUUGGCGACCAAUCCCAUGUGAAACCCCUUCGACGAGUCGAGUUGUUUGGGAAUGCAGCUCAAAAUGGGUGGUAAAUUUCAUCUAAAGCUAAAUACCGGCCAGAGACCGAUAGCGCACAAGUAGAGUGAUCGAAAGAUGAAAAGCACUUUGGAAAGAGAGUCAAAAAGUACGUGAAAUUGUUGAAAGGGAAGCGCUUGCGACCAGACCUGUCCGCGGGCGAUCAACCUCCGUUCUCGGGGGUGCACUUGUUCGCGAUCAGGCCAGCAUCGGUUUGGGCGGCGGGAUAAAGGCCUUGGGAACGUAGCUUCCUUCGGGAAGUGUUAUAGCCCUCGGUGCAAUGCCGCCAGCCCGGACCGAGGACCGCGCUUCGGCUAGGAUGCUGGCGUAAUGGUCGUAAGCGACCCGUCUUGAAACACGGACCAAGGAGUCUAACAUCUAUGCGAGUGUUUGGGUGUCAAACCCAUACGCGUAAUGAAAGUGAACGGAGGUGAGAACCCUUAAGGGCGCAUCAUCGACCGAUCCAGAUGUCUUCGGAUGGAUUUGAGUACGAGCAUAGCUGUUGGGACCCGAAAGGUAACUACUUAACCCCAUUCUUUUUGGACUGAGCUUAUACUAACGUAAUUUCCAGAUGGUGAACUAUGCCUGAAUAGGGUGAAGCCAGAGGAAACUCUGGUGGAGCUCGCAGCGGUUCUGACGUGCAAAUCGAUCGUCAAAUUUGGGUAUAGGGGCGCGCUUUCGCCCCUCACAGCCUGGCAUCAGGCUCUAGUCCUUCGGGGCGAGGUCUACGGUAUGCGGGGAUGUUCACCUGGCGUGGACUGCCCGCACCCGCCCUUCCGGGGCUGGGUCACAGAUCAAGCGUAGGUCGGCGGUCUCGUUCUUCGGGAUACGCUUUAGAUAUGAUCGGGCUGCGGCUGGUGAAGCCGUAGAGUACCGGAAAGACUAAUCGAACC